CCUUAAAUGUGCAACUGUUGAAGUGCAUAGUUAACUGCUCCAUUUUUACAAAAUUAUAAUAAAGUUGUUUUGAAGAAUACAGUCUCUCUCCUUUUGGUUAGAAUUUCUACGACAAUUUUGUGACAGCGGUGGAAUGGCUAACUCCGCUUGCUGAUUGCUCCCGGGGAGAUGAGGUUAACUGUGCAGGGGUUGCGUCAGACGUGGCAGGGAGCCCCACACCCAGUGAGUGGAUACGCUAUUCCGAACAUACAAAAUUAAUUGAGGGAACGCGAAGCGAGGCGGCCAUCUCUGUCGGCGCCGGAAGUACCCCACUCUUCCACCAAAGCACCUGCAAGUUCCCAGACAUUUCUGAGGGGACUGGCCCUAGCCCUCACCCUCCGAUCCAACAAGUCCCAGACAUGCUCAAUGGGAUUGAAAUCCGGGCUCUUCGCUGGCAAUGGUAGAACACUGAUAUUCACAGGAUGAGCAGUAUGGCUGGUGGCAUUGUCAUGCUGUAGGGUCAUGUCAGGAUGAGCCUGCAGGAAGGGUACCACAUGAGGGAGGAGGAUGUCUUCCCUGUAACGCACAGCAUUGAGAUUGCUUGCAAUGACAACAUGCUCAGUCCGAUGAUGCUAAUCAACAAAUGUAAAAAUAUUUCAACCAGAAAAUGACGUCAUUAUGACGUCCCAUGCCAAAUUCUGCCCACUGGAGUGUGUGCAGCCAAGGACUGUAUAACCUGUUCACAUGCAAAAAGUACCUGGGCAUGUCCAGUCAAGACAAAAUAAAGUAAAUGGACUAACAAGACUCUUCAAGCAGACGUUGAGGGUGACCUUCACUUACACGAGCUCAAGAGAGCAAGCUACAGUAGAGACAAGAGAGACUUUUGAUUCCUUCAGCUGUGUUUGGGAAUGAGACUGAACGUGCAUUAGGUGCUGCUUCCAUCCUUUCCCUCCUCUCAUCCACUCCCAUAUGGCAGGCGUGUGGAUCUGGGCAUAGGGAGAGAGCGUCGGAGGGAGAAAAAAAAAAGAGGUCCCAUAUGUGUUUUUUCACUUCGUUAGUUCCAAAGCAUACAGAGGCCCUCUUCAGCAGAUCCAUUUAAAUCAAUGUGGUUUUAGAUGUCCAGAAAUGCAGCCCUCAUUUGCAUGAGAAGCUCACAUCACAAGCUGUAGAACGUAGGAAAAAAUAAGAAGUUAGACUCUCACACUGAGGGAUGUGCUUUAAUUAAA
rnacentral:lncRNA from 1 species